rnacentral:rRNA from 1 species
ACUCCUACGGGAGGCAGCAGUAGGGAAUCUUCCACAAUGGGCGAAAGCCUGAUGGAGCAACGCCGCGUGGGUGAAGAAGGUCUUCGGAUCGUAAAACCCUGUUGUUAGAGAAGAAAGUGCGUGAGAGUAACUGUUCACGUUUCGACGGUAUCUAACCAGAAAGCCACGGCUAACUACGUGCCAGCAGCCGCGGUAAUACGUAGGUGGCAAGCGUUAUCCGGAUUUAUUGGGCGUAAAGGGAACGCAGGCGGUCUUUUAAGUCUGAUGUGAAAGCCUUCGGCUUAACCGGAGUAGUGCAUUGGAAACUGGGAGACUUGAGUGCAGAAGAGGAGAGUGGAACUCCAUGUGUAGCGGUGAAAUGCGUAGAUAUAUGGAAGAACACCAGUGGCGAAAGCGGCUCUCUGGUCUGUAACUGACGCUGAGGUUCGAAAGCGUGGUAGCAAACAGGAUUAGAUACCCCUGGUAGGAUAGCG